rnacentral:rRNA from 1 species
UACGUAGGUGGCAAGCGUUGUCCGGAUUUAUUGGGUUUAAAGGGUGCGUAGGCGGUCCUAUAAGUCAGUGCUGAAAUAUCCCGGCUUAACCGGGAGGGUGGCAUUGAUACUGUAGGACUUGAGUAAAGUUGAGGUUGGCGGAAUUGACGGUGUAGCGGUGAAAUGCUUAGAUAUCGGCAAGAACACCGAUUGCGAAGGCAGCUAACUAAGCUUUAACUGACGCUGAGGCACGAAAGUGUGGGGAUCAAACAGG